rfam:Anopheles gambiae complete mitochondrial genome.
GGCUUUAUAGUCAAUAAUGAUAUUAGACUGCAAUUCUAAAGGAAUAAUUUAAUUUAUUAAAGCUU